rnacentral:rRNA from 1 species
AUUGAACGCUGGCGGCAGGCCUAACACAUGCAAGUCGAGCGGUAGAGCGAAGCUUGCUUCUCUUGAGAGCGGCGGACGGGUGAGUAAUGCCUAGGAACCUGCCUGGUAGUGGGGGAUAACGUUCGGAAACGGACGCUAAUACCGCAUACGUCCUACGGGAGAAAGCAUGGGACCUUCGGGCCUUGCGCUAUCAGAUGAGCCUAGGUCGGAUUAGCUAGUUGGUGGGGUAAUGGCUCACCAAGGCGACGAUCCGUAACUGGUCUGAGAGGAUGAUCAGUCACACUGGAACUGAGACACGGUCCAGACUCCUACGGGAGGCAGCAGUGGGGAAUAUUGGACAAUGGGCGAAAGCCUGAUCCAGCCAUGCCGCGUGUGUGAAGAAGGUCUUCGGAUUGUAAAGCACUUUAAGUUGGGAGGAAGGGCAGUAGAUUAAUACUUUGCUGUUUUGACGUUACCGACAGAAUAAGCACCGGCUAACUCUGUG